GGACUUGAAGCCUCGCUUCCAGAGCGUUUUUUUUUUCAUGUUGCAUGCGUGGUGUUAGCGUAUCAUUGAAGUGCAACGACUAGUAAAAGCAACAACGAUGGAGGUCGUCCACCAGCUCGUCUUUUUCUUGCUUUACUUUCAGUACAUCAUGUAUGACAGGAAUUUUAAAGAUUGCUGGAACCCGAUGGCUUACCAACAUUAGUUUGAAUGAGCGCUACAUUGGCGCUUUCUAACAUCGUCAUCACUUUCUGCCAAUCAACAGGUGGCUACAGAGGCUCUUCCCCAACUGUCCACUUUUCAAUGGACCUACAACCAGUGGGCGCCCCUAAGAGCGAGACAGGUGAGAGGAAACGGUGAGAUGAGUGCUGACCUGCUCUGGACAGGAACAGAGACAUGGCUCCCGACCCGGAGCCCGACUCCAACACGCAGUCUCCCUCUGCGACGUCCAUCAUCAUCAGCAUGUUUGCAGCAUCCUAAGAAAACAGGAUUUUACGUUAGCAGGAAGCAGCCUGCAGGCUGUCCAGCAAUGUCGUCAUGCAGAAUGAUCCCCCAGCUGCUCUGCAGCCGAGAACCCGCCUCCAGCUGGAACAUCUUUCUGAACUCCACCCGAAUUUUCUUUCGAUACUCCGCUAUGACAAGUUCC